UCUCCCAGGAACACAGCAUGCUGUACCUAGAGAAGGCUUGGCCACUCUGCUCCUGCUGCUCUGUGCCCACCUCUUCUUUCCCCCUGCCUGUGCUCACAGACCCCAUCCCAUGCAGCUGUGCUCAGUGCUGCCCUGCAGCACCCUGCCUCCAACAGGGCCCGGCCAAGGGGCCCCUCCAUGGCUGCAGGAGCUAUGGGGCAGCUGACAGAGAGCCCAGCAUGUCCAACCAGGGCAGGGUGUUUGGGGCUGACCAGGGACACCUGGCUUAGGGCACUCCAAGGGGCUUUUGCCAGACUUCCUCACCUCGCAGUGCAAUCCAGCAGGACUCUCCAAGCCUACUGCAUUGCCCACUGCCCUCCCAGGAACAAGACCCAGCAAGAGACCCCUCCAGGACCUGCAGCUGCAUGGCCCUGCAGCCAGAGACUUACCUUGUCAAGGGCUGUGCAAAUUUCUCCUGCAGUCAGCUCCCAGGAUCCUCCCACUCCCAGCUGCCUCCAAGCCCUCUCUCCUUCUCUCCUCUCCAUGUGUCUGCUGUGGUCAGAGCCCCCAGCCUUGCUGUGCUGUGCAGAGGAGCUACUCCUGGGCAGAGCUGUCUCUCUGCAGCAGGGCCCUCUUGCCAGGAGCUCUCUCUGUCCCAGGAGCCCAGCCCAGCUCAGCAGCAGAGGCCCAGCCCAAGGCAUUGUAAUCACUCCUCUGGGGGCUUUGGUGAUGAGCCCAUGGACCUCAGGCACUGAGAGACAAUUGAAGA